UACGGAGGGUGCAAGCGUUGUUCGGAUUUACUGGGCGUAAAGCGCGCGCAGGUGGGUGUACAAGUCGGAAGUGAAAUCCCAGGGCUCAACCCUGGGGCUGCUCCCGAAACUGUACGCCUAGGGACUGGUAGAGGCUGGUAGAAUUCCCGGUGUAGCGGUGGAAUGCGUAGAGAUCGGGAAGAAUACCCGUGGCGAAGGCGGCCAGCUGGCCAGGUCCGACGACUGAGGCGCGAAGGCGUGGGAGCG
rnacentral:rRNA from 1 species